GAACGCUGAAGGAGGAGCUUGCUCUUCUGGAUGAGUUGCGAACGGGUGAGUAACGCGUAGGUAACCUGCCUGGUAGUGGGGGAUAACUAUUGGAAACGAUAGCUAAUACCGCAUAAUAACAGUUGUUGCAUGACAACUGUUUGAAAGGUGCAAUUGCAUCACUACCAGAUGGACCUGCGUUGUAUUAGCUAGUUGGUGGGGUAACGGCUCACCAAGGCGACGAUACAUAGCCGACCUGAGAGGGUGAUCGGCCACACUGGGACUGAGACACGGCCCAGACUCCUACGGGAGGCAGCAGUAGGGAAUCUUCGGCAAUGGACGAAAGUCUGACCGAGCAACGCCGCGUGAGUGAAGAAGGUUUUCGGAUCGUAAAGCUCUGUUGUAAGAGAAGAACGAGUGUGAGAGUGGAAAGUUCACACUGUGACGGUAUCUUACCAGAAAGGGACGGCUAACUACGUGCCAGCAGCCGCGGUAAUACGUAGGUGGCAAGCGUUGUCCGGAAUUAUUGGGCGUAAAGCGCGCGCAGGUGGUUUAAUAAGUCUGAUGUGAAAGCCCACGGCUCAACCGUGGAGGGUCAUUGGAAACUGUUAAACUUGAGUGCAGGAGAGAAAAGUGGAAUUCCUAGCGUAGCGGUGAAAUGCGUAGAGAUUAGGAGGAACACCAGUGGCGAAGGCGGCUUUUUGGC
rnacentral:rRNA from 1 species